rnacentral:tRNA from 1 species
AAAAAGGUCAGCUAAAUAAAGCUAAUGGGUUCAUACCCCGUAAAUAGGAUCAUCCUCCUUUUUA